rnacentral:lncRNA from 1 species
UUCCAACUCUGUGACCUGUUGCAUGUUACUUGAGUUCUCUGAGCUUUAAUUAUCCCACAUGUGUGUGAUGGAGAUGCUGUCAUGCCCAAUUUUAUAGGGUUGUUGUUAGAACUUAAUAAAUUAAUCCAUGUAAAGUACUUUUUACAAAGCCUGAUAACAAUCAGUGCUCAAUAAUGGUUAAUUAUCAUAUUUUAUGGUGCAUACAUAAAAUGUGUGAGCAUAGAGUUCGUAUUUUUCUGUGUUUUCAUCUGGUUUUAGAAAUAAAUGUAAUCGAGAAAGAUAGGGCUUGAUCUUUGAUGUGUUGGUGUUAUUGAGCUGUUCUUUUACUUUGUUCAGCUUGGAAAGAUGGCUUUAAUUGGUGCUUUUCCCUUUAGGGAAACUUAUGGUUUUCUUUAUUAAGUAACUGGCUUAGACGAUAUUAUAGUCUCCCUAGGUUUUAGAAUGUAAUUAAGAGCAAAAUCAGGCCAAGGAAACCACAUUUUAAAAUUCUGUGAUAUCAUUUUAGUUGUACAAACUUUAAUGUAAUAAAAUACUUCCUGGGGUGAACCUGAGUAGCAGAUGCACAAAUUCUUUAACCUUUAAUUUGUUGGGAGAUUAACAAGCCACAUAGUUUCUCUGCCUGUAUUUCAUCAAAGCAGAGGUAAUACCGUAAUGUCAGACCUUCUAAUUUUCAUGACUAUUACAGGCCUGCAGNNNNNNNNNNNNNNNNNNNNNNNNNNNNNNNNNNNNCUUUAAUGACAACAGAGCUUUCAAAUUGUUGGUAUUAAUUUUUAAAAAGUCUUUAAGUUAUUUCAAAGAGGUGAUAUCAAGAUGAUUUUUUUCCAGAUGACCCCAGGGAAUCUGAGUCCUGCCUUUGACCAGUAAGAGAAAGGGACAUUUUAUUACUAGCUCUCAUGUUGGUAGCCUUUUUUAUCUGAGAACACUAGUUGCUAUAACAAAUACAUUUGAAAGGACCCAGACUAAUGGAAGCGCUACCAUUUUCUACACACGGCUUCCAAGGUCCCCUGAGGCGGCAAGUGGGGGAUCUUGUGGGAGUGGCUGAUGGGCCAGACUUGGAAAUGGCUUAAUCACUUAGCCCUAUUCCGUUGCCAGAAUUGAGUCACAAGGCCCAGCGUAGCUGCUGGAGGGCAGGUCUUUUCGAUUGUGCCCAGGGGGGAGGUUUGGUCACUAUCCAGCUAGUCCGCAGCCCUCCAACCCUGACACAGUCCACACUAGGACUGUGUUGGAAAUCCUCUUAUUUUGGGUGUAGAUCACCUAGAACCUUCAUUCUUUAGAGGCCCACAGAGUUUGGGGUAGUUAGUCACUGUUUUGAAUGCAUGUAAAGGCCUUUUCCCAGGAAGACCUAGGAGAUCUGGAAAAGCUUGUUUUCCUCUGUCCAUGGCAGACCCCGCUCUCGCAGGUCCUGGUGGCCGGUGAGAGCUGUCUGUAGGAGUUUCUCUCUUUGUCAGUCCAGCCUGUGGAAGAGGAAAAAAGCCACAAGGAAGCCCAGAGAAGCCAGAGAGGAAGGUGACUGGGUUUUAGCUCUUCUUACCUUAUUUUAUUUUUGACUGCACCUGCAGCAUGUGGACGUUUCUGGGCCAAGGACUGAACCCUUGCCACAGCAGUAAUGACUCCCAAUCCUUUAUUGGCUGUGCCACAAGAGAACUCCUUGUUCUCACUUUAGUAGGCUUCUGGAAGGAAGUAUGGCCCUAGAAAGCCUACCUCUAUAUAUGCUUCGACUUCUUAAAUUAUGGUAAAAUACAUUUAACAUAAAAUUUACAGUUAGUGACAUUCAGUGCAUUCGGAUGUACAACCUUCCCCACCACCUAAUUCCAGAACAUUUUCAUCACUCCAGAAGUCGCUCCCCAUUUCCUCCUUCCCCUGGUCCCUGGCAACCGCUAACCUGUUUUCUGUCUCUAUGGACUGUGGACAUUUCAUAUAAAUGAAAUCGUAUGAUAUGCAGCCUUUUAUGUCUGGCUUCUUUCGUACAUGUUUUUGAGAUCUGUUCACAGUGUAGCGUGUAUCAUCAUAUAUCAUUCCUUUUUAUGGUUGAGUAGUAUUCCAUUAUAUGGAUAUACAGCAUUUUGUUUAUUCAACUGGUGGACAUUUGGGUUCUUUCUACCUUUUGGAGAUUGCGAUAGUGCUGCUAUGAACAUAAGUUUUGUUUGUACACCUGUUUUUCAGUUUUUUUGUUUCUGUAUACAGGAGUGGAAUUGCUGGGUCAUAUGAUAAUACUCUGUUGAACUUACUGAGGAAUUGACAAACUGUUUUCCACCAUGAGUACCAUUCUGACAUUCCCACCGGCAAUUUACAGGCUUCCAGCUGUCCCUUACCUGGCUAACACUUGUUAUUUGCCAAUUUAAAAAAAUGUGGUCAUUCUACUGGAUGUAAAUGACAUCUCUUUGUGUUUUUUAUUUGCAUUUCCCUGUAGGUUAAUGAUGUUGAGCAUCUUUUUAUAUGGUUGUUGACCAUUUGCAUAUCUUCUUCCUAGAAAUGUCUAUUCCAACCCUUUGCCUUUUUUUUUCCUUUCAAUUGCAAAUAAGAUUCUACAGGUUCUGAUUUUCCCAUCAAGGGGCAGGGCUCAAGUCAUCCCUAGGAGAGAAUCCUUUGCCAAUUUUUAAAUUGGGUUGCUUAUUGUUGAAUUGUAACAGUUCUGUAUUUAUUCUGAAUGCUGGAUUCUUAUCAGAAUGAUUUGCAUAUAUUUUUUCCCAUUCAGUGGAUUGUCUUUCACUUUCUUUGAUAUACACAUUUAAAAAUUUUUGAUGAAAUACAGUUUACCUGUAUUUUUUGUUUGUUGCUUGUGAUUUCUCUUACCUAAGAAACCGUUGCUAAAUCCAUGAACAUUUACUCAUUUUUUUUUUUUAACCGUUUAAUGGUUUUAGCCUUUGUAUUUAGGUGUUUUAUCCUUUUUGAGCUAAUUUUAGUAUCUAAUGUGACGUGAGAGUAAUUUAUGCUUUUGCAUGUAAGCAUCCUGUUGUCCUUUUUCAAGGUCCUCCAGGUGGUAAGUGAUAGAGCCCAAAAGAGCCUUGGCUCUAGAGCCUGUGCUCUUAAAACAUUGAAGAUGCUUUGGAGUUCCCUGCUGGCUCAGCAGGUAAGGAUCUGGCAUUGUCACUGCUGCAGCUUAGGUCACUGCUGUGGCAUGGUUCGGAGUUGGCCUUGGAAUUUUUGUAUGCUGCCAGCACAGCCAAAAAAAAAAAAAAAAAAAAAAAA